CAUUGAGCUAUUGUAGUGUACGUACUACUUAUACACACAGUGGAGGGGUGGAGGACUGAACGGAGCUGAACACAGGGAUCCGCUUGGCUCUAUGUACGUAAUCCACGUAGUGUAAUAUGCCUGAUUUCAAGGCUAUGGACAAGGAAAUGCUGCAGUUAAUCUCCACGAUAGGAGGUCUGCGAACAACGGGGCUUUUACGAGUUCAUCGAACCUCUUGGGAGCCCGUGAUGAGGCGAAACGAAUCCGGAUAGGUCAAUUAUAGCCCUCAUGGAAUGGUCUGUCCGAGCUCGAUUGGAACGUGGGUAGAAGUUGAAAGAUUUUACGGGCAAAAAGCGAUAAAAAGCCUCGAGAUUAUAGGUGUGGAAUGGUCAUCACGAACCAGCCCUUAAGAAUACAAGCUCAUGGAUACUACACCUAAGUCCUGUAGGGCUUGACAAAUUGAUCCAAUCUCCCCGAUGAGCCAUGGAAACCAGGACCAGGUUUGGAUAGGGUUGUUGCUCUGAAACGUGGUCUCUUUCUGAAUGGCUCCACCCACGCCAAUCUCAUAUGUACGAGUACGUAUUCUACAUACAAUGCUAGCGGCAGGAAGAUCUAUCGUCUCACUCAUUGCCAGAAACAGCACACUCACCUCUAGUUCUGUGGAUCUCCCAUGGAGUUCAUUGUGCUUGGAGAGCUGGCCAAGUGCUUCUUGAGAACGUGAGUUCAUUAUCCAAGUCAUUAAUUCUGGCAGUAGCGAACUUUUUUUAAGAAAGGCCCCGUUUGUCAAUUGAA